GCAUCGUUAGUUCAAUGGCGAGAAUGCUCGCCUGCCACGCGGUGACCCGGGUUCGAUUCCCGGCCGAUGCA
rnacentral:tRNA from 1 species